CUUUUGUAGAAGCCUGAACCCCCUCAUACGUGGGGGUACAUACAUAUCUCCUUUUCAGUUGGAGUGUAUGUCAUGGUUUUGUAACUUUGCUAUUGGUAUUCCACAUCAUAACAUCAUGGCCAAAAGAGAAGAACUACGUAUCCCAGAGGACCUCACGGUCAGAGAAGGAAGAUACAUCAUGGAAGAUACGUCAUCUGGUUGUGCGUGGUCUUUUUCACUUUUCGCUUGCUGCCAGGGAGAGGAGUGGGUGUGUGCUUUCCAAGCCAUGCGCCUUCAUCAAGUUAGAGGCUGAUCUUCUAGAGAGGAGCUCUGUGGAGAAGGACUUGAAUAUCCUAGUGGACAGCAGGUUGACCAUGAGCCAGAAGUGUGCCCCUGUGGCCAAGAAGGUCAAAGAUAUCCUGGGGUACAAUAAAAGAAGUGUGGCCAGAAGGUUGAGGGAAAUGAUCCUCCCACUCUACCCUGCCGCGCAGAGUGCACGUCUGGACUACUGCAUCCAUUUCUGGGCUCCUCAGUUCAAGAAAGACAGUGAACUUCUAGACAGAGUCCAGCACAGAACCACAACAAUAUUUAGUGGCCUGGAACAUCUCUCUUGUGAGGAAAGUUGUUGCAAUUGGACUGAAGCGAUUGCUGAUAGGAGAACAGACUGACAGAAGAACUCACUGAGAGCAGCUCUGUGGAGAAGGACUCGGGGGUCCUGAUGAAUGAAAAGCUGGACACAAGCUAUCAGUGUGCACUUGCAGCCCAGAAGGACAACUAUAUCCUGGGCUGUAUCAAAAGAGGAGUGAGCCAGCAGAGUGAGGGAGAGGAUUGUCCCCCUCUACUCUGCCUUUGUGAUGUCCCACCUGGAGUACUGUGUGCAUGCCUGGGGCCCCUACUACAAGAACAAUGGGGGGCUGUUGGCGUGGGUCCAGAGAAUGGCCAUUGAGAUGAUCAGAGGCCUGGAGCACCCGUCCUGUGAAGAAAGGUUGAGGGAGUGGGGCUUGUUUAGCUUGGGGAAGAGAGGACUAUGGGGAGAUCUCAUUACGGUCUUCCAGUACCUGAAGGGAGCUAACAAGCAGUCUUCUUUCACAGUCUGAUAGUGACAAGACAAGGGGGAAUGCCUAGAAACUAAAUGAGAGUAGAUUUAGGUUAGCUUCUAGGAAGAAAUUUUUUACUCAGAGGAUUGUGAAGUGUUGGAAACAUAUGUUGCCCAGAAGGGUUAUGGAUGCCCCAUCCCUGGAGGUAUUGAAGGCCAGAUUGGCUACCGCCCUGGGUAACCUUAACUGGUGGCUGGCAGGGUUGUCAACCUAAGCCAUUCCAUGAUUCUAUGAUCCUAUGAAAGGCCAAGAGACCUUGGACUAUUAAGCCUAAAUAAGAGAAGACUGAGGGAGGAUCUUAUCAAUGCUUUAAAUAUCUACAGGGCAGGAGUCAAGUGGAUGGGGCCAGGCUCCUUUUGGCAAUGCCCAGUGACAGGACAAUGGGCAAUGGGCACAGACUAAAACACAGGAAGUUCCAUCUGAACAUGAGAAAAAACAACUUUUUUUGGAGGGUGACAGAGCACUGGAAAAGCUGCCCAGAGAAGUUUUGGAGCCUCCUUUUACAGAGAUACUCAGAAGUCUCCCAAAUGCUUUCCUGUGUAAUUACCUCUAGGCAACAUGCUUUAGCGGAGGUGUUGGUCUAGAUUAUCUCCAAAGAUCCCUUCUAACCCCUAUGGUUCUGUGAUUUUGAGAUUUUUAGGCAUUGGCAAAGUACUAAUAGUGAAGGACAAAUUUUCAUAGUGAAAAUUCUGGAAAGCUGGAGCAAAUUAUUGAGAAUGUAUUUUCUUUGUAUAAAAUAUUUAGAUGUCCCUUAUCUUUCAAAUCAUUGUUGCUUGACAGUCACUGUACAGUGAUUUAAAUAAAUAUGACAAACUGCGCUAUUACCCACACAGUAGGGAUAACACAGUUGGAGGUAUAAUUCCUCCAUCAUAUAUUCUAGCUCAAAGGUUGGUGUGCAGAAUUAACUCCAGUUACAUAUACAAAUCUGGAGCAUGACCUUGUGUGACUGAGGUGCAGGCUAUAUCAUUCUUUGAUUAUCCCUGCAUCAGAAAUAGUAACUUCAGGAAAUUCUGUAAGGUUGAGAGACAGCAAUGAUGACUUGUUUAACACUCAUAACAUUCAGCAGGGCUGGUCUGGAAGACCAUCAAAAUACAUAAAUAAGUGAUAACCUUCAAAAGAGAUGUUACGCAUUUCUGAACAUAAGGUAACAGGAUGUGUAACUAUAAAAUUCUUCUUGUUUAGGAUUGUGAGAGAUGAUACAGUUUUAGGUGCUGGAAUGAAAAGGCUUUGACAUAAGCAGAGAAUGAUUUUGAGGGAGAUAAGGUGUCUUUCACCUGUUUUUAUUAAACUGUGAAAUUAUUUACUAUUGUAUAUAGGAAAGACUGGUAGUGGGGGUGUGGUUUGUAUGGGUGGCAGAGGGAAAACCAAUUUCAGAGGGGAGGAAGCAGGAGGAGGCAGUCCAUGGCAGAGGAUACAGUCACUGUAGUCCAGGGAGAGCCCGCACUGGCACAGAUUUUUCCUGACAAGAGCUGAAAUCCUAACAAAAACUCAGAAGGGAAUAGAUUCCACAGCCCCCCCCCCCCCCCCCCCCCCGCCAAGGAACUACAGCUUAUGGAUAACUGACUAACCCACAAUGGAACAGGGAAAAUGCGUUAGGAAAUUGGAAAUAAGUCUUGUUUAAUGCUUUUUUUUUUUUUUUUUUUUUUUUUCCUGCUACCAGGGAAAGGUCACAAAGUUGAUCAGAGGGCUGGAACAUUUCCCCUGUAAGGACAGGCUGAGAAAGCUGAGGUUGUUCAGUCUGGAGAAGAGAGGAGGGCCUACAGAAAUUCUGGGGUGAGAUAUUUUAUAAGGGCGUGUAGCAACAGGAUGUAGGAAAAUGGCUAUAAAAUGGAAGAGAGUAGAUUUAGACUAGUCAUAAGGAAGAAUAUAAGAAAUUAUAAGGAAGAAGUUUUUCUCUGUGAGAGUAAUGAGACACUGGAACAGGUUGCUCAGAGACAUUGUGGGUGUCCCCUCCCAGGAGGUGUUCAAGGCCACACUAGAUGGGGCUUUGAGCAACCUGGUCUAGCAGGAGGUGUCCUUGUCCAUGGCAAGGGUUAGAACAACACAUUCUCUAAGGUCCCUUCCAACACAUACCAUUCUGUGAUUCUAUGAAAAUUAGUAAUGACAUUUUUAUUUUACUUGGCAACAAAUUCACCACAUCAAGAUGUUUUGCCUGCAGUGGUAGUUAGAAAGCAAUCUACCUGUCUUAAUCUUGAUCCUUCUUGUUCUUUCUGCUUUCUAAUCCCAUCCUACUGCAGGAGGAAUUAAGUAAGCAGCUAAGUAAGCAUUUGGCUUUUAGCCAAGUCUAACCCAUCUUGUUGCUCUUAAGAAUUUCUGCCUUGUUCUUGCCUCCUAAAUAUUUAGUCAUCAGGUCCAGUUUCCACCUUGGACAUGUCAAUAUUCCUGCAAAGUACAACUAAUUUUGUAAGUAAGUGUAAAUAAGUUCAAAGUGAUCUUGAAAAUUUAAACUCAAAGGUACUUUUUUCUUUUUCUUUUUCUUUUUUAUUUUAAUAGCAGAUAGGCUAGGCUAUGCUCUAUGCUUGCCUAGAAGAUUUUAUCAGGAUUUAGAAACAUUAGAGACACUUCAACCCACUUUCUCCUCUUCCUUUUGUGACACACUUUAGUUUUUGUCACAUAUAAAAUGGAAUAAAAAUCAUCAAUAGUACUAAAAUGAAUGUCUGUCUAAGAAUUACCAUUUCUGAUGCAGUUGAUGUAGCACAUGUAAAAAGUAUAUUUUGCUUUGGUCUGAUGGAAAUGUGCAUCUGAUUUAGAAUAAUUUGUCUUGCUACUUGAGCAAACAAAAUGUAAUUAAGUUGCCUAUAACAGCUAAGAAUAAUAGCUUCUCAUUAAUAUUGUUACCUGGGUGUUAAAAAACCUAAAGCAAGGCAAAUGUAAUGAAUUUAGCAAGUUAACAGAAUUGCCUUUUUUUUUUUUUAAGCAAUCUUUUCAUGCCACUGUAUUUGAGAUGGUGUCAGCAUUGCUAUUAUAAAUAAUUUAAGCAUUUAUAACUCAGUAAGAGAAGAGCACUAGUUCAGUCACAUUCUAAAUGAGUUAUUUGCUCAAUAUGUCUUCAAGGCUUAAGGGAACAUAAGAUAAAACUUACAUUUUCCUCUAGGGGCAUUAGUAAUUAAGCUAGAUAUUCAACUUUAACCAGACAAUUAAAAAAGGUUCCUCAGUGCUACUUUGAAUGCAAAGUUUGUCUAAACAUGAUGUACUUACAUGCAGGAUAGGAUGAUUUUGGGAGGUAUUCCAAGAACAGAAACAGCAGUGACUAUCACUGCUUGUCAAAUAAUGAAUAAUAAGAGUUGUCCUGCAGAGGACAAGUGAGAGGUCAGAGGAAGAAGAUAGCUUUUUUUCUUUUGUUAACGGACGGUGCAAAAAUUCUAUGUUACCAUUCGGAUGGAGAAAAUAUAAGAUAUUGUUCUAGGCCCCUUUCCAAAAAAGCACUUAUACUUUCAUUUGUGUGGUAGUGAACAGUCUUGCUGAUUUCAGCCACUUUUCACAUGGCUAAAUUGAAGCACACACUUACAGAACUGUUGGAUUGUUGCUGAGACAGAUGCAUACUUAGGAAGCAAAAGAGCAGUAAGGUUGAAAUUAGUAAUUCAGUCACAACACUAGCAUCAUUCUCAUGAUGCAUAAAAGCAUUAUUUUUCAACAUUCACUUCUCUUUCUGAAGGACUGGAAACAAAUAGCAGGUAAUAAUCAGAACAGUUUAAAUCUGCAGUUUAGUAAUUCAAAUCUUAUAUGAUAAUUUUUUGCAUUCUCACUCUUGUGCCAAAUUAAAAGUUUUGAAAUAGAAUUAAUGGAGUUAGAAUUCACAUGAGAAUUUGUUAAUUGCUGUGAUAAAAAUAAUGAGAUUGACAGGCUUGAGAACUGGGCCCUAAUGAGGUUCAACAAGGGCAAGUGUAAGGACUUGGGGGGUCCUGGUGGAUGAGAAGCUGGACAUGAGCCAAUAGUAUGCAUAUGCAGCCCAGAGGGCCAACUGUAUUCGGGGCUGCAUUAAAAAAGGAGUGGCCAGAAGGGAUAGGGAGGUAAUUGUCCCCUUCUACUCAGCUCUUGUGAGACUGCCUGAACCCAUCUUUGGCUUUGGCUUUGGCUCAAAGCUUGCUUUCUGAGGCAUUUCUUGUGAUAAGACUCUUACUUAUCUAGGAGAUGAGAGGUGCUGUGUGGCAGUGGGCAUCACUGUGUGGACUAUUUUACAUUUGAAAACAUUUCUUUGGAGCUGUUUGCCUUCUGAAGAGAAUGCUCAGGACUGUUUUCUGGCGGAAGAUCUGUCCUGUGACCAAAUAACUCCAGAUUGCUAUGGCAGACUGGGGGGAUGAUACCAUUGUAUCCUGUGAAGGCAAGAAAUAAGGGGUUGCCUCCCUGCUCCCUCUUGUCUGCUGGCAAGGCCCAGAAGAUGGGAACAAAAGGAGUUCCUGCUGUGAUCCAAAAGCCAGCAGCUGUCACUACAAAAGGAGCUGACUAGGCCACUUUGGACUUAUAAAUAAGCUUGUACUGACAUUGGAAAGAGUCGUUGUCAUCGUCGCUGUCAUUAUCGUCAAACGAACAACAACCCCUGAUGACCCAUCACUACUGAAGAUCAACAUCUGAACUACGAGCAGUGCUGGAAUCCAUGGUGGUGACUAUCUCUUUUGCUUUCUACAAAGACUCCUUGCUUUUAUUUUUUAUCUUUCCUAUCGCCCAUCUUCUCUUCCCCAUCUCCCUAAAUGACUAGGAUUUGUGAUAAACUGGUUGGGUUAACAUUUGACUCUCUUUGUCUUAAUCUCCGCAUUGGGUAUACAAAUACUAAAAGAACCUCUUCUUCCUCCUUUAAAUUAUAGCUAGACAGAGGCCCCAUCUGGAGUACUGCAUCCAUGUGUGAGGCGCCCAGCACAAGAAAGACGCAGAGCUCUUGGAACAGGUCCAGAGGAGGACCACUAAGAUGAUCAGAGGGCUGGAGCACCUAUGAAGAAAAGUUGAGGGAACUGGGCUUGUUUAGCUUGGAGAAGAGAAGGCUCCAGGGAGACCUCCCUGUGGCCUUCCAGUACUUAAAGGGAGAGUAUAAACAGGAGGGGGUACAACUGUUUACAUGGGUCGAUAGUGACAUGACAAGGGCAAUAGUUUUAAACUAAUACAGGGGGAAUUUAGGUUAAAUAUUAGGAGGAAGUUUUUCACUCAGAGGGUGGUGAUGCACUGGAACAGGUUGCCCAAGGAGGUAGUGGAUGCCCCAUCUCUGGAGGCAUUCAAGGCAAGGAUAGGUGUGCCUCUGGUCUAGUCAUUGGUGACCUUGCCCAUGGCAGGGGGGAUGAAGCUAGAUGAUCUUUGAGGUCUUUUUCAAUCUAGGCCGAUCUGUGAUUCUAUGUUUUGCAGUAGAUGAGCUACUGCUGGACAAUUUCUGCAUGUAUCAUUUUUAAAAGAAUUUACACUGAUUACAUCAGAACAUUCAGUCUUUCUUGACAGUCUUUUUUCUUGUUAUUGGCAGGGCAGUAAUUACUACAUAAAAAUAUGUAUGUAGGAACAGAGAACACUUUAAGAACUUUGUUAUGAGGUAAAUACUAGGCAAAAAAUAUAAAAGGAGAAUUUGUAAUGAGCACAUCCGAUAAUACACAAAAAGUAUAUUUUCUUCUUUUUUUUUCCUCCCUCUCCUAAUGAGGUUCUGAAUAAAAUCAUUUAAAAAUGAUCCUUCCUUUUGUGUUAAGAAAGAGAGCUUCUUCUAUCGCAUGUCCAUAUCACUUGAAGUACUACUCUAGGUAUUCAAAUGAUUCCAAUCCCUUGAAAUCAGCAUGAGCAGAUAGAAGGCAAACCUGAUGAAGAGCUCGUUAGGCAAUCUCAGAAAAGAUUUUGAAGUGAUAAACUAUUUUUGCUGUUUUCACAAAUUUUCAGGUAUAAAGUCCUAGGUUCUGUUUCACAUGGAGCAGACAAAUCACCUGGGAAGCUGAUGCCCUUUGAUGAAGAGAAAGCCUCUAAGACUUUCUUUAACUCUGCAUCAAUUCAUAGGAAAGAAGUUUUGGAACCAUGGCUCAUAGAGCUUUUAACCUUUUGUGGAGACUGCCUGAUGAGGUUCUGCACAGAUGCCUUUAUGGAAUGAGAGAAGUUCUAUGAGAGAGAGAAGAACAUUUCAGCUUCUUGUGCUGCCCUGCCAGUGAGGAGACGGGGGGUGCAAAGAAGCUGAGGUGGGACAGAACCAGGACAGCUGACCCAAAAUGUCCAAAGGAAUAUCCUAUACCAUAUGACAUAGUUCUGACAAUAAAACUGGGAGACUGAGUGAGCUGUGUCGUGCUGAGCUGCCUGCCAGGGUUAAACCACAGCAGUAGUGCACCCAACAGAGGACUGGAAGAGUUUGAGAUUAUGACAGAUUUGACUGGAGUAUGGAGCGUGCUACACCAAAUGCAUAGUUGUUAUACUCUUCAGCUGCUAAUUGGUAUGCUCCCGCAGUUUUCCUGGGUCUUGCUUGCCUUACUGUAUUUUGGAGUCUACUAUCUGUUAGUGGAUGCUUUUGCUCUGUCUUCCCUCUCCACUUUCUACUUUCCACUCUCCCCUCUCCUCAGAAAACAAACAAACAAUAAUAGUAAUAAUAAUAGUAAUAGUAAUAAAACAAAACAAACAAACAAAACAAAACAAAACAAAAAAACCCGGAGGUUUUUAAUCAGUAGAUGGCAGUAAGAGCUAGCAAGAAGCCUGAAAGGGAGUCUCACAGACCUACACAUUAAUCAUACAUAUAGCAAAUUCCACAAAGUACAAGCCGACAAAGACCCUGCUUUACCACAAUCAAUCUUUAUUCACCACUAGAUUACAGUGGUUAGAUAUAUUUGAUUGCCACAGGUCCAAGAAAAAGCUUAUAAAUAACUAUAAAUGUAAUCGGCUUAAAUUUUUGCCAUUGUAUUUUUUGGUUUUAUUUUUGUUGUAGGCUGAGAUUGGGGUGCAAUCUGUUUAUCCUUAGAUUUGUUGUAUGACCACCCAGUCCAUCUGUCACCUUGACUUUGAAGCUGUAAUUUUAAUGUUUGGCUCUGUAAAUGUUUAAAGCAUCAUUACAAAUUUACAAAGGGAAAGAUACUGCUAACGGUGCAGCUGAAAUAAGACUGUCUCAGCUCACUUGUCUUUACUCCAAGACUUUCACUGCUGUGUGCCUGUGUUUUAAGCUGAAAUGAUAUCACAACAGUGAAGUAAUGCUGCAUUGUACUGCAGGAUCCAUUUUGGACAGCUCUAUUCUCUAGCCUGCAUUGCUUUUUCAAAAAGUCACAAUGUACAAUGGAUGUUCUCUUUAUUCACUUGUGAAAGGUAUGAAUUCAUGUAUUUUUCUAACAUACACUCAGCAAAAAAAGCAGUGUAAGUAUACUUGAAAAAAAAAAAAAAAAGAAAAUAGAAUAAUAAUGUUGAUUUACUUUCCAGCUCACUAUCUAUAUAUAGUUAGAAAUGUAUAUUUAAUUUUCUGUAAAUUUGCAAGCUUUUUAACUGUGUAAUAUAUAUAAAAUUUGAAAUCCACACUGUAUUUCUCUGUUUGACUCUAUUUGUUUAAGCUAUGUAUUUGUGUACCAAUCAGACCUAUGAUAGUUUUAUUUAACUUCACAGUCCUUUUUCUGUGAAAGAAAAUUGUCUUUUUCUGCUUCCCAUUCAGUAGUACAGAUGUACAAGAAUUUUGUAACAAUCUUAAAUUUUCUUGCUUAAUAAAAAUAUUUUCACAGUAUAACACUGAAAUAACAUCAUGUAAGAUUGAAAGAAAAAAGAGAAACACAAAAUUAAAGAGAAGUUUGUGGCCUUUAGUUAUAAAUAUAGAGGAGUUUAUGGAGGCCACAAUGAAACAAUCAGCUCUGAAAGAAGUUUGAGACAAGAAAGCAUUAUUUCCAUAGGAGGUGAGUAGGGUCAGGGCACUGGUUCUGAAAAGCACCAUAAACUUUUGAAAGAUAUAAUUAAUGAUGAAAACAGGCAGACAGAUUAAGAGGUGCAUAUAUGUGUGCAUAGAUAUGUACAUUAUAUAUAAAUAUAAAUGAUAUAGUUACAGAUAUUGAUAGCAUAAUUAAUUUCUAGUUGGUUAAUAUUAGGAACCGCUAUAUAGCAUAGUAGUUGCAUUUGCUGUGGGGUGCUGGCAUUAAGAAAUUUGUAUACCAUGGUUAAACAUAUAUACAGCAAUGAAUUCAACUCAGUAAGUGUUCCCUCUCCCCCUACAAAGUACACUGAUGUUUUAUAUUCUGUUGAAAUCAAUUGAAGUGUAUCACAUUGGCAUCCAAAGAAAACAACAGUUGGUGAUUUCAGAUUUCCCAGGUGAGGACUGCAAUCAGUUGAUCAAACUGCAAUUGCUUUUUACUCUGGGGUAAAUACAAAUAUGCAUGGAUUGUUCUUUGUGGUCAUGCUUCAGUGGUAUCCAGCUAGCUUCUGACAUCACCAGGUCUCCUUUACAGGCAGAUAAUUUUAUCCUUUUGCCAAGGACAGCCACUUUAGUCACAGCAUUUUGUAUCUGCCUUGGCUGCAGGAGAGUCAUCUCUUUUAACACAUUCAGAAACGAAUAUAUUUUACCAACAAAUUCUCCAUUCUAACAGUUUUCCAUCAUUUGUGAUUUUUUAUUCUUUUAUGUGGCCCUUUUACAUUAAAGCUAAACCAGAGCAUUCCUUCAUAAAUAAAUAAAUAAAUAAAUCUAGCUGAUUGAGUGCCAAAAACUGCACAAUAGACUUCACUAAGAGCUGAGAUUUAUUCAUUGCAAGCAUAAAGCAUUUGAGUACUCUGCAAUUUAAUCUUUUUUUUUUUUUUUUUUUUUUUCACUUUCAUCAAGCAAUUGGUAGGCUGUAGAGAGUUCUAGCAAUUUUUUUGAUUAAUUCAGUACAAUAUUACCUUUGGUUCUCUAUCAGCAUGAAGGUUAUAAAAACAAUAGCAUUUAAGAUAUAGAAAAUAUCUCAAAAAGGUGACAAUAAUACUAAAUAUGUAUUCUAUUUUUUGACAAAAAUGUCGAUGCAGGACUGAAAAGGAGUAAUAAAAUACCACUGUGAUAUUAACACUUUGUGGGAGGACACUGUCAUCUUUGUAAUUUAAUGCUUUGUUUGUUUUUCAUAGUUUUUACACUGGCAGAAUAUCCAGAGCCCAGUAUAAAUUUUUAAAAAGUCAGAAAUUCAUUAAUACUUCUCUUUAUGUCAUGUUCACAGAUUGAAUCUGAUUGGAAUUUCAAAGAAGGUCAGAGUGAACUUUUCAAGUUUUAUGUGAAUAAAAACACCCAACAGGAUCAAAACCUAUUCCACUUUAUUCAUUCAGAAUAUAAUCAAAUAAAUAUGGGCUUAACAGCUUCUUUCUUUAACCCCAAAUUCAAAAGGCUUAUGUGAGUUCUUCCAUUACCUUGCUAUUGUGGAAAUACUGAGAAGCAACUUCCUCUCCAUUUCAAGUUUCAUACUGGAAUUAAUGCACUAAUAUCUGUCUUGGGAAACAGGUAUUUGUAAUGUUAAUUCAGUCCUCAUCAGCAUCAUAACUUUAGAGCUAAUGACAAAAUGAUGUAACAAGAUAAUGGAGUCUGAAAGUGAACAAUAGAAAUUAUGUUCCACUCCCCAAUCCAGACACAUUUUUUAAAUAUUAGAGAUGUGGAACAAAGGUAAUGAGAAUCUGACAAGUCACUCACUAUUUGACAGUAAGGAGAAAUACAGAGAAAAAGAGAGUGUUGAAGACUCAAAAAGUGCAGUGGGAGGAAACACAGCACCAACUGUACAGAAGCAAUUUUCAUGUCACAGUCUGUAUUAAGGAAUUAAUGUCAGUUUUUCUCCUCACUUCAAAAUAUUGAUAUUUAAAACAAUCAAAACGGUUUUAUUCAAAAAGUUCCAGUAGCAGCAGUAUUAAAUUAUAGAAUUAUUUUAUUAAAUUAAACAGAAAAAUACUGAGGUUUUAUUAGCUGUGUAGAGAUGACAGGUAACCCCUUUUCUUCAACAGACUGGUGUAAGAGGGUGAUCUUAUAUUUAUUGACUUGCCACACUCUCGUGUGAUCUGUCUUUUGUACAUGUAGCUAUCUGCCAAUCAGAAGGCAGAUAGUGGAAAAUACCUUUCUCCAUCUCUUUGCCUGUGUACUCAUCCUCAUCCACAAAAUAUUUCCUUCACUUCAACAGUGUAAGUCCAUUUAAAAGUAUACAGAAACUACCAUGACUUACUAGAUUAUUACAAGAUUUAGAGGAAUAAAGUUAUGUUCUUUGAGACUAAUUAUUUUUGCUUCUGGCUUUCAUUGUAUUCUGUACAUCAACAGGCUUCCUGUUUGAAAAACAGUUCACUUUUAAAUGGCUUCAUGCUGUUAUCCAAGAUAUUAUAAAUUUGGUAUAGGACAUAAGUGGAUUAUGAGUGGAAAAUGGACUAAAUUCAAAGGGUCAGAAGUCCAAAGUCCAGCUGGUGGUUAGCUACUAGUGGUACCUCUCAGAAUUCAUAGGGCCACUGCCAUUAAACAGUGUUAUUAACAGCUUGAGUUAUGAGGUAGCAUGCACACUCAAUGAACUUACUGAAAAAUAUCAAGCUAGGAGAAGGUGAUGAUGCACUGGGAGGACAGGGCUGCUAACCAGGAGAAAUGAACUGACAGAAAAGUCCUGAAAAUCAAAUGUAAAGGCAAAGUCCUGCACAAGGCAAGGAAGAAUCCCAUGUGCCAGGGUAGACUGAGGAUUGACUAGCUGGAAAGCAGCUUUCCUGAAGAACUUCUGGGGUCAACAAAAUGGAAUGUGCCUUCACAAUAAAGAAGGCCAACUAUGCUUUAACAAGUAGCAAAGCAGUAUCUAG
ensembl:lncRNA